GCGGGAAGCAGCAGACAGUAGGGUUGCAGAAACUACCUACGCAGCAGCAAUCAGGCUCACUGGACUUACUUUUCAGAUCAGUUUAUGCCUUUGCAUCUUGCUGUUCCAGUUUCAAGAAGUUAAGGAAGAUAACUGGAGAUGUGAUAACGAUACCAGAAGACUGAGAAGAAACUGACCCUCAUUAGAAAGAUGAUGGAGACCACAUUUCCCCUACGC